GCCAGAGGAGGCAAGCGUUGUUCGGAAUCAUUGGGCUUAAAGCGCGCGUAGGCGGCCUUGUAAGUGUCUUGUGAAAUCCCACGGCUCACCCGUGGAACUGCAGGGCAAACUGCAAGACUUGAGGUCGGUAGAGGCGCCUGGAACUCUAGGUGGAGCGGUGAAAUGCGUAGAUAUCUAGGGGAACGCCGGAGGCGAAAGCGGGGCGCUGGGCCGAUUCUGACGCCGAUGAGCGAAAGCGUGGGGAGCAAACAGG
rnacentral:rRNA from 1 species